CUCAUUACAGCCACACAGUAGUUCCUCUGACGUCCUGCUACCUUCUGAAGGUACUGCCUCAGAACAGCACUACAAACCUUUUUAUUCACCAGUGUCACCAACCUCUGCCUACUCCCCAAGCUGAAAGCAAACGCUCCACUGGAAGACUCCAAGACCCUAGGAAUUCUCAAACGGAAGGACCCUGGUUCUCUGUAUCACAGCAUGCAGCAGAGCCACAUAACAGCCUGUGAACAAACCACUUUAAACUAUGGUGUAAAUAAGAAAUAAACUUUUAUGUUUCUAAA